rnacentral:lncRNA from 1 species
ACCUCCCCAAACCAAAUCGCAUCUUUCUCCACACAAGUGUCCAACGUCCUCGAUGCUACAUUAGACAAGCUUCUCACAAAGUUUUGGGAGGUGGAGGAUCUACCAACCAAUGUAGUAGAAGAGUCCGAUUCCUAUUGCGAAAGCAACUUCCUACAAACGACUCCACGACUCCACCAACUACUAUCUCCCUCACCACGCAGUGAUCAAACCCGAUAGCACUACAGCGAAGCUUCGUGUGGUGUUUAACGCAUCCAGCCCAUCCGCGAACGGAACGAGCUUGAGUGACCUCCUUCACGCGGGCUACAAUCCGAUUUGACCCUUCAGAUUCGGAAAUGGCGCUACUUUCGAUAUGCCGACAUAUCGGCGACCAUUCCUAGGCGACCCUUUCGCCGACAUCACCAAAAUGUACCAUCAGAUUUGGGUGGAUCCAGAACAACCUUGUUUCGAAACGCAGAGGGGGAAAUUCGUGAUUACGAUUUGAAACCCGUCACUGCGCCCUCUUUCUCGCCAUUCGAGUUCUUCAACAGCUUUCCAACGACGUUUAAUCGCAAUUCCCUAGGGCUAGUCAUAUCAUUCGGCACUUUAUGUACGUCGACGAUGUCCUAGCCGGCGCUGACUCCACCCAGGAGGCUAAGCUAGCGCUGUAGGAAACGCAGGACGUACGCGCGGACGUACGCGCGACCGCAAAUUACAAGCCGCCCUCAGUUCGGCAUGUUUUCCGCUACGAAAGUGAACAGCCAACCACAAGGACGUAUUGGCCGAGAUUCCGAGUGGCCACCUCCUCCAUAAUGAUUUCCUGGAGAUUGACGCACAGAGCACGGCAAAGACUCUCGGAAUUCGUUGGAAGGCCACCUCCGACGAGUUCUUCUUUGUUCCUCCCGUGCUCUCGCUUACGCCAUCCUACACCAAGCGAGAAGUCCUAUCGCAGAUAGCAGGGUGGCUGGCACCGUUCAUAGUCCGCUCCAAGAUCUUCAUGCAGGAAAUUUGGUUGCAGGAACUGGAGUGGGACGAGAACCUUCCGAACGAACUGUGUCAAUACUGGCAAGCCUUCCUGCUUAGCUACUCCUGUCUCACCACGAUCCGUAUCCCAAGAUGGAUUGGUUCCCGACCAUCCGUUAAGGUGGAGCACCAUGGGUUCUGUGAUGCCUCGGAAAUGACUUACGGCGCCGCGAUUUAUGUACGCGUUGAGAUGGACCAGCGUACCGACGUGCAUCUAUUGACAGCUAAGACACGAGUUGCGCCCGUAAAAACCGUAUCGCUUCCCCGGUUAGAGCUGUGCGGUGGCGUGCUUCUAGCCGAAAUGGCGACGGCUAUCCUGCCAAGUAUGCCGACGACAGGGUCUACCGUUUACUACUGGACAGAUACCACAAUCGUCGUCGUCUGGUUGAACAAGCCUGCAUGCCUCAUGUUCGCUCCGAGCACAAUCCGGCGGCCUUAGCCAGUCGGGGGGUUUCUCUACAGGAUCUGGUUGACAACCGUCUCUGGUGGUAUGGGCCCGCUUGGUUACAGCAACCACGUUCUCAAUGGCCGCUCCAAGAUCAGGAAACCCCCGUCAUAAACCUAGAGCAGCUGGCUGUGAAAGUCCAUUUCACAACCAGCCCAUCCGAAGAUAUCCUCGAGCGAUUCUCCACGCUUGAAAAAAGUCUGCGAGUCCGCGCGUACGUCCUGCGUUUCCUACAGCGCUGCCGAAAACUACCGUACGCACAGGAUACCCAUCCUACAAGCGGAGAAGUUAACGAGGCUGAACGAACUCUUGACCUAGAAACUCAGCUGAACACUCAACACUGAAUUUGAAUCCGUUCAUGGAUCAAUAUGGGGUCAUACGCUUCUGCGACCGUGUAUCAACGGCGCAAGCACUGAAGGAUGACGAGCGAAAUUCUUCCGUAUAGUUGUCGUUUGUCGCGACUCCUCACGCAGUUCACACACCGGAUCACUCUUCACAGAGGCAGCCAAUUGAUGGUGCCAUUUAUCCGAUCCAAGUAUUGGAUUCCACGGAUUCCGAAGCUGAUGAAGGGUGUCGUGAACUCUUGCAAAGUGUGCAUUAUCCACAAAAAAAAGUUGCAAACUGAUGAGGGAUCUCCGCAGGGAGCGAACUUCAUUCUCCCGACCUUUCACGCACACCGGAAUUGACUACGCCGGUCCUUUUGAAAUCCGAAACUACUACCCCGAAGGGGGGGGGGGGGGGGGGGGGGGGGGGGGGGGGGGGGGGGGGGGGGGGGGGGGGAGUUAAUGGCGACUGUGGAGCCAGAAGUUAACGGGUGACCUCACAUCGAUCAUAAAUCGAUAGCAACAUCUAAAGGCACUCAACCAACAGUUCUGUCAUAGAUGGCACAAGCGGAACAAAUGGCAAACGCAAACGCCAGAUUGGUGAUAUGGUCGUCGUCAAGGAGGACAACCUUCCGUCUAAAUAAUGGCGUCUCUGACGAAUCCAGUCCGUGUACCCCGGCGCCGACGAUCGGGUCCGUGUAGUCGACAUCCUCAGUGCACGGGGGUCCUUAAAAUGCCGGUCGCAAAGGUCGCUCUUCUGUCCAUAGAACUUCCUCGCUCCAUCCAAAAUUAACGAAGAGCGUGCGUGUCCCCCGCUUCCUAUCUCGCUACUAACCCUUCUCCGAUUCUUUUUUUUUCUUUUCUUUGGCCAUAGUUUUCCGUACUCAGAGAUGGCUCCACGGUCUCGUGACACCCGCACUUCGGAGAGUAGACGUUCUCGAGGUAUUAACUCCUACCGUUGCAGAGUCUGCUCCGGAAUCCAUCCGCUACGUGCCUGCCGAAGCUUUCUUCCCCUAAACGCCGAGAAGAGACUCCGAGCCGUCUUGAUUACCAAGUACAAGUAACAAGAUGUUGAGAGUAGCAGCAGCGAGUUAGCAGCAGGCUGCUACACUCCCUACACUCUCCUUCUUGCCUGGCGCUCGCGAGCUGGCUUGCAGCCAUUCGC